rnacentral:rRNA from 1 species
AGUGAACGCUGGCGGUAGGCCUAACACAUGCAAGUCGAACGGCAGCACAGGAGAGCUUGCUCUCUGGGUGGCGAGUGGCGGACGGGUGAGGAAUACAUCGGAAUCUACUCUGUCGUGGGGGAUAACGUAGGGAAACUUACGCUAAUACCGCAUACGACCUACGGGUGAAAGCAGGGGACCUUCGGGCCUUGCGCGAUUGAAUGAGCCGAUGUCGGAUUAGCUAGUUGGCGGGGCAAAGGCCCACCAAGGCGACGAGCCGUAGCUGGUCUGAGAGGCUGAUCGGCCACACUGGAACUGAGACACGGUCCAGACUCCUACGGGAGGCAGCAGUGGGGAAUAUUGGACAAUGGGCGCAAGCCUGAUCCAGCCAUACCGCGUGGGUGAAGAAGGCCUUCGGGUUGUAAAGCCCUUUUGUUGGGAAAGAAAUCCAGCUGGCUAAUACCCGGUUGGGAUGACGGUACCCAAAGAAUAAGCACCGGCUAACUUCGUGCCAGCCGCCGCGGUAA